GUCCACGCCCUAAACGAUGUCAACUGGGUGUUGGGGAAGCGAUUCCUUGGUACCGUAGCUAACGCGUGAAGUUGACCGCCUUGGGAGUACGGCCGCAAGGUUAAAACUCAAAGGAAUUGACGGGGACCCGCACAAGCGGUGGAUGAUGUGGAUUAAUUCGAUGCAACGCGAACAACCUUACCUACCCUUGACAUGUCCGGAAGCCUGCUGAGAGGUGGGUGUGCCCGAAAGGGAACCGGAACACAGGUGCUGCAUGGCUGUCGU
rnacentral:rRNA from 1 species